UGCAGUUCUCACGAAAUGCAGUAUUUGUUUUAGUUUUAGUAGUGUUGAUGUAUGAAACAUAGAGGUAUUGAUGCAAGAUAAUGUAAGCAUAUUCAGUUGUAUUUCUUGUUAAUCUCUAUGUCAAAUUUCGCCUUUGAAUUUUGAAGCUGUUUGAAAUGAAAAGUUGCAAUGGUUGCAAUUUAUCAUUAUUCUUUGAUUAACUGUAAUAGUUUUUGUAAAACAAGUUGUUUCUAAAAUCAUGUUUUUCAUCAAUUUCAACGCAUUACAUCAUUUUUAUCAAAUCAUGGAAAUGUAUAGAACAGAACCUUGUGUGAAAAGAAAUAAUGUAGAAAUGAAUUGCUUGUUACGAACAUGAUAAAAUCUUAUUAUUUUAUAUGUAUGGUAUGUAUAUGUACAAAAAAUAAAUGAAAACAACAUU
rnacentral:misc_RNA from 1 species